rnacentral:lncRNA from 1 species
UUGUAUCAACGCAGCUGUCUGAUGGAACUUACUGGGGUGAUGGGACUCUUCUAUCACUGCAGCUCACUUGUGGUCACGAGUCACAAACAGCUGAGCACCUGAAAUAGGGGUCGUGUGGCUGAGGAGUGAAUCUUAGAUUUUAAUCAAUUUUAAUCGAUUUAAAUCACAAUAUGUGACCAGUGUGUACUAGAGUGGGCAGUGAGUGCAGAGGAACAAUAAACAAUAAACUUCAGGCACAGAAAGAAGACAGGGAAAGAAGUUCACUUGCAAGGUUCUUCAAAAAUAUGGUCCCCAUUGCCAUAAUGCGCCACUUUGUCAAAAAGGAGUGCUUUUUGCUGUCCAGAAUGGGAUAUAUGGCCCAUUUGUUUCUUCUAGGACCUAUAAAUUUUGUUCAGAGCUGACAAACCUCAUUAUUUUUUAGAAGAAAUCAAAGUUAAUAAAAUCAAAUGGUUGGGGCUGAGGUUGUAGCUCAGUGGUAGAGCACUUGCCUAGCAUAUGUGCGACACUGGGUUCGAUCCUCAGCACCCCAUAAAAAUAAAGGAUUUGUGUCCACCUAAGACUAUAAAUAUCUUCUUACAAAAGCAGAUGGGUCAUAGAAAAAAAUGGUAUUGUGAUUCUUUUUAGGAGAAGGAUCGUGAGCUUGAAAUUAAAAACAUCUAUACCAAUCGAAUACUUAAAAAUUUACAUGAAUUAGACGAUUACCCAAAAGGUAUGCUUUAUUAAACUUUUCUCAAAAUAUAUUUUAACUAUAGUUAUAUUUUUCUAAUUUACAUAACCAAAAUAAUGGAUUUGUGUGUGUGUUUGUGUGUGUGUGUGUUGCUGGGGAUUGCACCUGGGGCCUUGUGUGUACUAGGCAAGUGAUCUAUCACUGAGCCACAUUCCAGUCCCCAAAUAAUGGACAUGUUAAAAAGCAUCUUAUUAGUUACUGAAAACCAUUUUGUGAUUUUGGAAUAAAAAAACUGUGAUAUUGUUGAGCUACAAAAAAAAAAAAUGAAAAUGCCUUCCUAUUUUCUCAUUUUCAGCUCAGUAUUUUAUGUCUUAAGGUGGAAGAAAAGGAUAACUUUUCAGCUUGAAGCAAAAUCUGCCAAAACCCGAACUUUCUACAUCUGUUAGUCAGUGUAUGGUCUCUGACAAUUAACUUUUAUUGAGGUAUACUCUACAUCAAUAAAAUGCACCUGUUGUAGCUUCUCAGCUCAGUGCAUUUGGGCAGAUGCUCAUACCCACGUAGCCACACCCUGAUCAAGAUCCCAUCUCCCCAGGAAGCUUCCUCAGGCCCCUCUGCAGUCAGCAGUCCCCACCCCUGGCCCAAGCCACCUUCCAUCUCCCUCUGUCACAAUAGCUAGUUUGCCUAUUCUAGAAUUUCACACCAGUAGAAUCUCAGAGCAUGUAUGUUCUCCUCUGAAUCUGGCUUCUCCUGUUCAGCAUAGCGUGUCUGAGAUUCAUCCAUGUUGACGCUACUAUCAUGAGCUUGUACCUUUGUAUUGCUGAGUAGUAUUUUUCCUUGACGAAAGUACAUACUCACCCUCCCACCACCAUCUCCCAGCAUAAGAUUCUUCUCAAGGGAGGUUCAACAGGAACACGCACCUCUAUUUUGGCAGAAAAAGCAACUACACAUUUACUUUCAAAGGCAGCACCUACGAAUUCCUUG